CUUCCAGUAACGAGCUGGAUUACAGUCCCGCGCCUUGGUAAAUUAACUGCGUGGUUGUGGAGGUGCUCUCUUAGCAUCUCGUCCUGGUGGCCGUGCAUAGGGCUUUCCACGACAGGCUUUCCCAGAAGACCUUACACUGUGCUAUGGAAAUCGGGGACACAGCAAGGCGAACCCUGAUCCCAGACCUCCUUCGGGAUGCCGAGACUCAGGCACCGGCUGCUCUCUGAGAGCUGUACAUGCCCCGGCUGCCUGCCCUGCUGUGGUGCUGCUGUGCACAGUGCGCUGUGUUCUGGGGGGCUGCUGUGCUGGGCUGUUUCCUCUCUCCAGUCCGUCCAUGCAGGAAGGUCCAUUUUGUCCCAUCUAAUCACCACUCAGGUUUGGAGAAGGACUGCAGGUCGUGCUGCAACACACCGGUCUGAUGAACAAGGCACAAAAAUCCAGAAAGACAAAUAAGCACAAAUCAAAAAGAAGAAAAUCCAAAAAAAAAAGAACAUGAGUAAUCAAAGUGAAAUGGCCACAGCUCAAAGGAAAAUACAAAAAGCAAGGCAUUCCCAGGGGCAAAUCCCACAGCAGCUGCUUGGCUGCCAGCUUGGAUUGCAGAGUCCUCCAGGGCUGGGGGUUUUGACCAUCGUUUCUUCUGAGGAUACCAACGUGGUCUACAAAAGGCUCUGUGUUGCAAUGCAGAGAAUGCCUUUGUCUGGUAAAUCAGUGAUAGGAGAGCCACGAUUCCCAGUGCCACACAGGGGGCCUAGCAGCUGACUUGUGGUUUCAGUAAGUCAUGGGCAAAGAAUUGCCUCUCUUCUUCAUUUCUUCUUUCCCUGGCUCUUCCUUGCCCCUGCCUCCCCUCAAGACAUUUAAAAAGCUCCUAAUAUAUUAGUUACAGAAAUGAAAAAAUGCAACUUUAAGACAUCCCUCUGCCUUGUCAGCACCAGAGGUUUGCUCAAUUUCUCCCCCACGUUCCAAGCCAUCCAUGUAGCUGCCAGAAGACAAAUUCUCACCAUACUUAAGUAAAGCUGUUUGCCCGAGUUUGCAUGGCAUGAUUUGCCUUGAUGCUGUUAGCCCUGGCUUCACAGAGGAGAAAACAUCAUCCCUGGAUGCUGUUUGAGGGAGCUCAGAUAUAUGAGCCCUACAAGAGCCUGUGCUGCUGCAGUUGCUCUGUGUAGGCAGCUUCAGGAUAAAAAGAAGCUAUAGAUGAAUCUCUCCCUGAAGGCAGCCAAGGUCUCACUCCACUGCAGGCCACCAGCUCGGCACAUGAACACUGCAUCAAUGAAAGUGGGCUCUAGUAAGCUGUGGCCUCCAGGCGAGUUCUGUGCAUCAGCAAAGCCAUUGUGGCUGCUCACACAGCGUGCCAGUGCUGAGGGGCUGUGACCCAGCUUCACCCUGGGUGAGUGGGGGCACACUGGGCAGGCCAGUGUGCUUCAUCUGCAGUCAGGGUGCCCAGAGACAGCCCAGGCUGUGAACACAACUCCAGCAACAGGCAGGGUUUUUCCAUGCUGUCUAUUGCCUGGAUCUUCUGGCCAGGAAAAGCGAAGCAAGGAAGACAGAGUUUGUCUAAUGCCCUUGUUCUCCACAUUUCCUUGUCUACUCUGAGGCAAAAUUAAUUCAGAAGAAUCCUCCUCCAGUGUUUCUGUAAUUACUGAUGUUGUUAUUUGUAUUGUGAUAGUCUCCAUGGGUCCUAGCCAUGUGGGUCUUACGCCAGCACAGACACACCACAAAGGCUUCAGAGACCAUCGAGCACACACAGCAGAAACAAGAAACCUCAGUCAGCAACUAGGACCCCAUCUGGUAGGCACUACCCACACACACUGACCAGGAAUAAUGCAGCUCACAUGGCCUUUUAAAAUAUACUGGAAAGAAGCUGCCUUUAGAAAAAAGCAGAAGAGAGAGUAGUUUUCUCCUCAAAGCAAAAGAGCUGCCUGUAAUGAAGAGGCCAAGACCCACAGGCAGCAUUCCUCAAAGGAUGGGGUAGCUCCUGAAUUAAGUGGAUUCUUCCAGACAUUGUGAAAUAUUCACACCUUGAGGGAAGAUUACUUUUCUUAUUGGAUAGUCCUAAUAUAUGCUCUUCUCUAAACACACUCAUGAAAGGAGAAGAGCAGCUCUUUAUUUGCUGACAUUUGUCUCACUGUAUCCUUUUCUCUUACCUUUUAUUUAGAUUAAAAGAUCUUUACAGCAGAAGCUAUCUUUCAUCUUCUUUGCAUGAUGUCACACAUAAGGGGAUACUGUCCAUGACUACUGGGAGGGUAAUACAAAUAACAUUUCAUGGUUUGGGGCAGACAGAGGUUAUCACUACUACGAACUGCAAACAAAAAAAGCUCUGAUGAGCUCAGAUGAACUCUAGCAUAACUUACAAUGAUGACAGCUAGUUCUAGUUCUACUUCAACACAACAAAAAUUGAGUGGGGAGGUGAGCGGUGCAUUGUGGAAAUCAAAGAGAGUGAACUGUUCAUUGUCAAUAGAAGUCAAAAGCUUCUUAGGCGUUCUUAGGACAGACAGGAGAAGAUGCAUCCCCCAAAAGAGGGUUCAUUUGCCUGCUCUACCUUAAGACAGUGCAACCUUUCAAGCCCCUGGCAAGACAUAUUAACUAGGCCAUAAUCCCUCUCCCUCAGUUCUCACAAAACCCAAUAAAGUUGUUAUUGCCAAAAGAGUGCACUGCACACAGAUGUGUUCAGCUAUUAAUG